AACGAACGCUGGCGGCAUGCCUAACACAUGCAAGUCGAACGAGACCUUCGGGUCUAGUGGCGCACGGGUGCUUAACGCGUGGGAACCUGCCCUUAGGUUCGGAAUAACUCCCCGAAAGGGGUGCUAAUACCGGAUAAUGUCUUCGGACCAAAGAUUUAUCGCCUUUGGAUGGGCCCGCGUUGGAUUAGCUAGUUGGUAGGGUAAAAGCCUACCAAGGCGACGAUCCAUAGCUGGUCUGAGAGGAUGAUCAGCCACACUGGGACUGAGACACGGCCCAGACUCCUACGGGAGGCAGCAGUGGGGAAUAUUGGACAAUGGGCGAAAGCCUGAUCCAGCAAUGCCGCGUGAGUGAUGAAGGCCUUAGGGUUGUAAAGCUCUUUUACCCGGGAUGAUAAUGACAGUACCGGGAGAAUAAGCUCCGGCUAACUCCGU
rnacentral:rRNA from 1 species